UGACAAUCUUAAAUAUAGUCAAAGAGCUAAAGGAAAUUCUGCAGCAAGAACUAAAAGAAAUUGGGAAAAUCAUGUAUGAACGUCAUUUUAAAGAGACAGAACAUCAUUAUAAAGAGAUAGAAAUCAUAAGAAGGAGCCAAAUAGAAAUUCUGGAGCUGCAAAGUACAAUAACUGAAAUGAAAAAUUCACUAGAGGAGUUCAACAACAGAUUUGAACAGAGAAAAGAAAAAAUCAGUAAACUUGAAGACGGGACAAUUGAAAUUAUUCAUACUGAGGAGCAGAAAGAAAAAAGGACAAGUGAGCAGAGCCUAAGGUACUUGUGGGUACCAUCAACCUGAUCAACAUAUGCAUUUUGGAAGUCCUAGGAGGAGAAGAGAGAGAGAAAAGGGCAGAGAGAUUACUUAAGGAAAUAACAACCAAAAAGUUCCCAAAUAUGAUGACUGUACAUGUCCAAGAAGCUCAACAAACUCCAAGUAUGAUAAACUCAAAGAAAUCCACACUGAGACACAUUAUAAUCAAACUGUCAAAAGACGUAGACAGAGACUCUUGAAAGCAGUAGGAGAGAAGUGAAUUAUGUUAAGGGAUUGUCAAUAAGAUUAACAGCCAAUUUCUCAGGCAGAAGCAAUGGGAGGACAUAUUUAAAGUGCUGGAAAAAAGAAACCCUGGUCACUCAAGAAGUCUACAAAUGCUGCAAGAGUUCCAGCAAAACUAUCCUUCAAGAAUGAAAGAGAAAUUAAGAUAUUCCAGAUAAACAAAAGCUGAGGGAGUUUGUUCAUCAUAGACUUGCCCUACAAGAAAAGUUAAAGGGAGUCCUCAGGUCCAACUUGAAGCCAUACAAAGAAAUAAAGAUCUCUGAUAAAGAUAACUACACAGUGUAACUACGGCAACCGUGGCUGAUUUCAAGCUACCAACAUGAUGUCAUUGAAUAUGGAGUUGGGAAGAAUGCACACAAUUGGCUCUGCUCACGUGAAGCCUUCCUCCUGCUCACCUGCUCUCAUUCCAUGCCAGAGCAAGCCGAGCUGCCUUUUGCUGCGGGAAGCCACACACCUGCAGACCUGCCCCUGCAACCUGGCCUUUGCUUCUCCAAGUGUGGUCAGAAUCCCUGGGAAGCUUGUUUAAAUUCAAACUCCCUGGUCUCAUUUUCAGGGAUUUUGAUUCAUAGGAAUAGGUGGAGCAAGGAAUCUGUGUUUUAAUAAGCUCCCCUCUCCCCUAGAGAUGUUACUUUAAAGGUCAAGAACCAUUCAUUGGUCCAGGACCAUCUGGUAUAGGAGAGUGUGCGGGUAAAGCACUGAAAGCACGCCUUCACUCAUG
rnacentral:lncRNA from 1 species